GGCCACAGCCAUAUCAACCUAUAACAGGUUACUCACUAGCUAAGCAAGGCUGAGCUUGGACAGUACCUGGAUGGGAGACCACAUGGGAAAACUAGAUUGCUGUUGAAA
rnacentral:rRNA from 1 species